GGCUGGCUAGCUCAGUCAGUUAGAGUGUGGUGCUGAUAACACCGAUAUCGCGGGUUCGAUCCCUGCUCGGUCC
rnacentral:tRNA from 1 species